CCUCUGUCUACCUGACAUCCCCCAGGCUAGAAUUAGUCCAGUUUAACCAACAGAUCGCUAGCUCCAAUACAGAAGCACACAUAAGAAUGUCAAACAGGAUAUGAGUAGAAAUGUUGGCUGAAAUGGAAAGACCAUGUUGGAGUCAAGAGAGAAAAGCCCUGAAAAGGCUUCAUUUCUGGAAGAAAGAGUUUUUCAACAGUUUCCAAGGUAAAACAGCAAAGGAAUCUCUUCCACCUGACCGAAAGGAGACCUUGUCGAAGAAGGAACAAUCGCUCGCCUCUCCUCCUGGCAGCAAUUAGUAUCAGUCACAGUUGGCUCCUCCUUCAAGGAAGAGAGAACGUAAGGGGAACUGAAGGGUGCCUGCCCUGUCACCUCUGUGUCUGGCUCAGUCAACUUAAAUCAUCUUCCUCAAACCUCUCUCUUAGGCAUUGGAACACACAGAAUUGUUUU